rnacentral:rRNA from 1 species
UCUAGCAUGUGCGCGAGUCAUUGGGAUUUUUUUACACUAAACCCAGAGGCGCAAUGAAAGUGAAAGGCGCGGCCUCGGUCGCGCCGGAGGGAAGAUGCGCGGACGGCGUCAGCCGCCCCGCCGCAUUCCCGAGGCGUUUCGAGAAAGCCACCGCUGUUAUUAUCGAGACGCACUGAGAGCGUACACGCUGGGACCCGAAAGAUGUGA